CCUACGGGAGGCAGCAGUGAGGAAUAGUGGUCAAUGGACGAGAGUCUGAACCAGCCAAGUAGCGUGAAGGAUGACUGCCCUAUGGGUUGUAAACUUCUUUUAUAAGGGAAUAAAACAGGGUAAGCAUACCCUCUUGUAUGUACCAUAUGAAUAAGGAUCGGCUAACGCCGUGCCAGCAGCCGCGGUAAUACGGAGGAUCCGAGCGUUAUCCGGAUGUAUUGGGUUUAAAGGGAGCGUAGGUGGAUUGUUAAGUCAGUUGUGAACGUUUGCGGCUCCACCGUAAAAUUGAUGUUGAAACGGGCAGUCUUGAGUACAGUCGAGGUGGGCGCUAUUCGUGGUGUAGCGG
rnacentral:rRNA from 1 species